GUUAGGAAUAUUGGACAAUGGGCGAAAGCCUGAUCCAGCCAUGCCGCGUGAACAAUGAAGGCCUUCGGGUUGUAAAGUUCUUUAGCCGAUGAUUAUAAUGACUGUAGUCGGAAAAUAAGCCCCGGCUAACUUCGUGCCAGCAGCCGCGGUAAUACGAAGGGGGCGAGCGUUAUUCGGAAUCACUGGGCGUAAAGCGUGCGUAGGCGGUUUUGUAAGUUAGGAGUGAAAGCCCAGGGCUCAACCUUGGAAUUGCUCUUAAAACUGCAAGGCUCGAAUCUCGGAGAGGAUAGCGGAAUUUCCAGUGUAGCAGUGAAAUGCGUAGAUAUUGGAAGGAACACCAGUGGCGUAAGCGGCUAUCUGGACGAGUAUUGACGCUGAGGCACGAAAGCGUGUGGAUCAAACAGGAUUAGAAACCCCAUAGUCC
rnacentral:rRNA from 1 species